UACGGGGGGGGCAAGCGUUGUUCGGAAUUACUGGGCGUAAAGGGCUCGUAGGCGGCCAACUAAGUCAGACGUGAAAUCCCCAGGCUUAACCUGGGAACUGCGUCUGAUACUGGAUGGCUUGAAUCCGGGAGAGGGAUGCAGAAUUCCAGGUGUAGCGGUGAAAUGCGUAGAUAUCUGGAGGAACACCAAUGGCGAAGGCAGCUCGCUGGGACGUUACUGACGCUGAGACGCGAAAGCGUGGGGAGCAAACAGG
rnacentral:rRNA from 1 species